CCUACGGGUGGCAGCAGUGGGGAAUAUUGCACAAUGGGGGAAACCCUGAUGCAGCGACGCCGCGUGAGUGAAGAAGUAUCUCGGUACGUAAAGCUCUAUCAGCAGGAAAGAAAAUGACGGUACCUGACUAAGAAGCCACGGCUAAAUACGUGCCAGCAGCCGCGGUAAUACGUAGGGGGCAAGCGUUCUCCGGAUUUACUGGGUGUAAAGGGGGCGUAGACGGCGCUGCAAGUCCGGAGUGAAAGCCCAUGGCUUAACCAUGGUACUGCUCUGGAAACGGGAGAGCUUGAGUGCGGGAGGGGCAGGCGGAAUUCCUAGUGUAGCGGUGAAAUGCGUAGAUAUUAGGAGGAACACCGGCGGCGAAGGCGGCCUGCUGGACCGUAACUGACGUUGAGGCUCGAAAGCGUGGGGAGCAAACAGGAUUAGAUACCCCAGUAGUC
rnacentral:rRNA from 1 species